rnacentral:rRNA from 1 species
AUGAACGCUGGCGGCGUGUCUAAGGCAUGCAAGUCGAACGCGUGUAGCAAUACACGAGUGGCAAACGGGUGAGUAACACAUUGGUAACCUACCUCCAUCACGGGAAUAACCCGCCGAAAGGCGAGCUAAUACCCGAUAGUUUCAACCUCGCACAUGCGAGAUUGAAUAAAGGUCCGCCGGAUGGAGAGGGGCCUAUGGCCUAUCAGCUUGUUGGUGAGGUAACGGCUCACCAAGGCUCUGACGGGUAGCGGGAUUGAGAGAUCGACCCGCCUCACGGGGACUGAGACACUGCCCUGACUCCUACGGGAGGCUGCAGUCAAGAAUAUUCCUCAAUGCGCGAAAGCGUGAAGGAGCGACGCCGCGUGGUCGAUGAAGCUCUUCGGAGUGUAAAGACCUUUUCUCUGGGACGAAUCCAUGACGGUACCAGAGGAAUAAGAGGCCGCUAACCUCGU